rnacentral:tRNA from 1 species
GGCCGCCUGGCGUAAUGGCAACGCGUUUGACUUCGAAUCAAAAGAUUACAGGUUCGAUCCCUGUGGUGGUCG